rnacentral:siRNA from 1 species
UGAGAUGCCUGGCGAGAUCACAAC